rnacentral:rRNA from 1 species
UACAGAGGGUGCAAGCGUUAAUCGGAAUUACUGGGCGUAAAGCGUGCGCAGACGGUUGCGUAAGUCAGAUGUGAAAGCCCCGGGCUCAACCUGGGAAUUGCAUUUGAGACUGCAUGGCUGGAGUGCGGCAGAGGGGGAUGGAAUUCCGCGUGUAGCAGUGAAAUGCGUAGAUAUGCGGAGGAACACCGAUGGCGAAGGCAAUCCCCUGGGCCUGCACUGACGCUCAUGCACGAAAGCGUGGGGAGCAAACAGG